rnacentral:rRNA from 1 species
UUGUAAACUCCUUUUAUCUGGGAAGAAAUGCAUUUUUUCUAAAGUGCUUGACGGUACCAGAGGAAUAAGCACCGGCUAACUCCGUGCCAGCAGCCGCGGUAAUACGGAGGGUGCAAGCGUUAUCCGGAUUCACUGGGUUUAAAGGGUGCGUAGGCGGGCAGGUAAGUCCGUGGUGAAAUCUCUGAGCUUAACUCAGAAACUGCCAUGGAUACUAUUUGUCUUGAAUGUUGUGGAGGUAAGCGGAAUAUGUCAUGUAGCGGUGAAAUGCUUAGAUAUGACAUAGAACACCAAUUGCGAAGGCAGCUUACUACACAAAUAUUGACGCUGAGGCACGAAAGCGUGGGGAUCAAACAGGAUUAGAUACCCUGGUAGUCCACGCCCUAAACGAUGAUUACUCGACAUCAGCGAUACACUGUUGGUGUCUGAGCGAAAGCAUUAAGUAAUCCACCUGGGAAGUACGAUCGCAAGAUUGAAACUCAAA